UUUUCUUCCCGAGAACACCAUGAUCUCUAGGGUGUCGUUAAAAGGAUCAAAGGAAGAAGCUUCUCUACCCUGGAGGAAUCCAGUGAAGGUCCACAUCUAUUCCUCUGUGAUUUGGGGCUCUGCUGGAGAACAUACAGGGUCCUUUUGAUACCAAGAUGUCCAUCCCAAGUCAAGUACUUCUUGCAAUCUGUGUUUUUCUGUUCCUCACACCUGGAGAUGCUCGCCUCUGUAUAAAAUGCAUAGUCGUGAUACCAGGAGUACCAUGCAACCACCGAAUCUGUGAAGUUGAUGAUGAAGGAACCUGCGUUGGCAUCAUCACCUAUAAAAAUGAGAAGAUUAUAGAUAUAAUACUCAGUUGUGCAAGGAAGGAUGUGGUAAGGUGUGAUCUUCCUUCUCAUUAUCAAAAUCGCUUCCGUCAGGAACUCAGGUGCUGUGAUGAAACUGAUUUCUGCAAUGCAAGCUUUUAAAACAAGCUGAGAGCCACCUCAAGAUUCUGCCCUCCUGCAAAG